UAAUGAUUUUAUCUGAAAACC
rnacentral:piRNA from 1 species